rnacentral:tRNA from 1 species
GGUUGUGGCUCAGUGGUAGAGUGCACACCUACCAUGUGCAAGGUCCUGGGUUCGAUCCUCAACAUCA